ensembl:snoRNA
UGCUAUGUACAUUUUUGUUUAACUUGUGGACAAAGACUUAUAGAUGGGUGCAAAAAAUAAAUCCUCUUGCAAUCCAGAAUUCACUGUUCAGUAUAGUUUUGAUGCAUAGAAGAAGGAACAUU